rnacentral:SRP_RNA from 1 species
ACUGGGCAUGGCAAUGCACUCCUAUAAUUCCUGAUACUGGAGAGGCUGAGGCUGGUGAGCUCAGGAGAUUUCAGCUGUAGGAGGGCUAAUGCCAAUUAGGUGUUCACACUAAGUCUAGCACGAAUAAAGUGAACUCCUUGGAGCAGUAGAAUAACAGGCUACCUAAGCAGAGGUGGACUGACCCAAAUAAAAAAUGGAGGUCAAAAUUUCCAAGCUGCUCAGUAGUAGGAUAGGGUCUAUGAGUGGCCUUCCAGUCUAGUCUAAGCAACUCAGGGAGACCCAGUCUCCU